rnacentral:snRNA from 1 species
GGAUAUGAGGGCAAUUUGGCAGUGACAUCUAUCCCAGGGUUGAUUUGGCUAAUCUGGCUACUGGGUACCUGUCUCCUUCCUCACCACUCUGUGAAGCCUAGAGCUCUGUCUAAGUGGAAGAUCUUCCUGAAUAGAGAAGGACCUUUCUUCUGUCAAGGACAUAUAAACAGCUGCGCUCCUCUCCCUGGCUAGAAUCUCCUAACAAACUCUUAAGACUGGAAACCUAGUAAUAGUUAAGACACUUUGCCCAUCUUUACUUUAUUGUGUACCAGU